UACAGAGGUCCCGAGCGUUGUUCGGAUUCAUUGGGCGUAAAGGGUGCGUAGGCGGCGCGGUAAGUCGGGUGUGAAAUCUCGGAGCUUAACUCCGAAACUGCAUUCGAUACUGCCGUGCUUGAGGACUGGAGAGGAGACUGGAAUUUACGGUGUAGCGGUGAAAUGCGUAGAUAUCGUAAGGAAGACCAGUGGCGAAAGCGACUUCCUGGACCAGUACCGACGUUCAGGCACGAAAGCGUGGGGAGCAAACAGG
rnacentral:rRNA from 1 species